rnacentral:rRNA from 1 species
UCGAGAAUCUUCGGCAAUGGACGAAAGUCUGACCGAGCGAUGCCGCGUGCGGGAUGAAGGCCCUCGGGUUGUAAACCGCUGUCAGUUGGGAGGAAGGCUCCGUGAAGAGCGGAGCUUGACCUAUCUUCAGAGGAAGUCCGGGCUAAGUUCGUGCCAGCAGCCGCGGUAACACGAACCGGACGAACGUUAUUCGGAAUUAUUGGGCUUAAAGGGUGCGUAGGCGGCGCGGUAAGUGAGGUGUGAAAGCCCACGGCUCAACCGUGGAAUUGCGCUUCAUACUGCCGUGCUAGAGGGAGACAGAGGUAAGCGGAACUGAUGGUGGAGCGGUGAAAUGCGUUGAUAUCAUCAGGAACACCAGUGGCGAAAGCGGCUUACUGGGUCUCUUCUGACGCUGAGGCACGAAAGCUAGGGUAGCGAACGGGAUUAGAUACCCCCGUAGUCC